UCCCGCUCUGUGGGUGGAGGUGAGACAACUUGUCUCAAUCAACAUCACAACUAAAAAAGAUGUUGACGGACCUGAGAGUGACGGCCCUGGGGAAAGAACACUUUUCUCACCUUCCAGAUCUUUACAAGGAGGACCUAUCCGGGGAGGAUGAGUGGAAGAAGGAGUUCUGUGACCGUAUACACUCAGAUGGAAGGAGAUGGCUGAGCGACAGAGGGUGAAAAUCGGGAACGACCUCACUGUCUCAUCACAUUGUUGGUACUACUGAUGGGCCUCUUUGAUGUCCUCUUCAAGUCCCAUGUCAAAGGAGGGGUCAGCAAGUUGGAUCCCAAAGCUGAGCGGUGCCAGUCUCUUGACCCUAGGAAACUUCAAACUUUACAAGGCUUGCCUAUUGCCUCCUUUUCUCUAUUCUUUAUAUAUUUACAGGUCUGUUGGUUACUGAAUGUGGAAGCAGAUGGCUUGGUGGUCAGUGUGGCGUCGAGUAUUGAACCCAGGAUGAGUGUUUGGAGCUGAUAUGGUGGACAUGAUAAAGCACCCAUCGACAUACAAUUGUGAUUGUCCUGGACCAGCAGGCCAGCCUGGUAUGAAGCAACCAAGUCCUGACAUGACCUCACCUCCACAAGGUCAGUACCCCUACAAGGGGAUAACUCUUCUGAUGACACACCCCUGAGCAUGGCCAGCUGCAUGAGCACUGCAGACUCCGAGCUGUCAGCGUAAAAGACUGCAUGAACUUUUGGUGGACACUGGAGCCACAUAUGGGCCUCUGGGUUGUGGACUAAGACUGUCACUGAAUAUGAUACUGAGAGAAGAAACAGUGUCUGCCAUUGUGAUCUGAGGGGGAGAAAGAAUUGCUGACAUUUAUGGAGGACUGUGAACAGAGCCUGCUACAACUGGUGUUCUCUCCAGCUAUGGAAGAUGCAACGUCUGGGUUCCUGCUCUUCUUCCCACCUGACCCACCACACAUCACUCUGUUCUAUGACAGGAACCGCACAGACUGGUAUCAUGAUUCUUUAAGGUAAAACACAGUCAUUUCUAGGAAUAUGUAUAUGGUACCUGAGCGUUUGGCAGCUGCUACUGCUGAACAAUUUAUAACGAUAUAUGAUGUCGGAUGAAACGAUUUCACACAUUUCUCUUUCUCUCCAUGUUGAGCACAAGAAAGAAGUAGGGGCAUGGUUAAAUAUUCCCUUCAGGCAACUGAUUGGGCUCCUACCAGCGUGCAGGUUUGUUGUUUUAAAAUAUACUGAUACCUUUUAAAUUGUCUGUGAUGUAACUGAUAAGUUUAUUUCAAACAUGAGUUUGAAAUGUUACCAUGGCCGGGAACGUACUGAUCAUCAUUACGCAGCAGAAGGUCCACGGAGGUGGCAAUACUUUCAUGUGUUCCACUUACAUUUAAGAUUAGUAAAGAUAAAAUUGCAAUUUGCCAGGGAGCGUGUCUUUCCUGGGCUGUGUUAUUUUCCGCAGGAACAACCAAUGUGUCCUCCAAUAACAAGCAAAGCGUUCUAACAAACCCAAACUACAGCGCGUGAAAGACACAUUAUUGUUUUGGGACUAAAUGGCUGCUGUCACAACUACAUGGUGGGUACAUUGAUCUCACGCAACCUUUGAGGGACCUCGGGAAAAUAUCAGGUAUGUUAAAUUUGAAUAAGAUUUGGAUUCAGGAUUCGAGGAAGUGUUUUUUUUUUUUUUCUUCCUACUUCACCAAAGAUUAGCCUAUGCAGUUGAAUUGACUCUUUUUGACGGCUUCUUAUGUAAUGAUGGGUGUGGAGCAGAACCCGAUAUUCUGCAGAACACAGUUAUUCCUUUAAACUGGAUUAAAUGGAAGACAGGUGAACAUAAACAGGAUCCAAAUAGAGUUAAGGCAGACAUCCACACAAGCUGGACGGGAACUGGCGAACAGACUGGGCAGAAUAAACAGAAACGGGUAAUCCAAAACAGAAUCAAGGUGUCGGGACUCUUACCAAAACAGAGAGUGUAAACGAGGAGGAACAGGAGCAUGGGCAUGUGAGUGUGACGGACCAACAAAUAACUGAGGAGGAAGUGAGGCUUAAAUAAACAGGCGAACAGGUAAGCAGAGGGAACUAAUUAACCAUAGGACAGUGGAAGCAAUAACGAUGCUGACAGAAGAAUAAACUUAAGACUGAGAAUAACACAAAGCACAGAACACAGAUAAGGACUAAUACAAAGACCGGAAAACUUAAAACCAUACACAGACUAAACAGGAACCUAAAACAAGACAGAACCUACAAAAUAAACAAAACCAGAGGCAGGAGAGAACUAACCUAACCAAACAAUAAACCUAGACCAAAACAGAACGUUACAUUUUACUGUUUCUGGAAAAAAAAAACUAGUUUUGAUUCCAAAAGGUGGAUGUACAUAUAAGUAAAUGUUAGAUAAAAUAGAAAAACAGGGUGCAGGAUUUUUGACAUGAGAAUGGCAUCUAUUGAAGAGGAACUGAGAGAGGAAUUGAUUACAAGAGGAGUGUAGGUGGAGCAGAGCAGCUUCAGAGGUGCGUUGGAGUAGAACGGGUGUUGUAAAACGACCUGAUGGUGUUUCCUCCAGGAUUAAAACAGGAACUUUUCCUGAAGCAACAGGAGUAGAGCAUCUGGGGUUAUAGAGGUUACAGCAAUGUCAUGUGUAAAGUGGUGCGAUGUGUGGUCACUUUAAUCCAAAGAAGAUUCGGACAUCGUUACAAGAAAAAAAUUACUUUGAUUUCAAACCACAAUUAACUAACUUUUGAUUCCACAGACACGGUGAACCACAUCCGAGGUUUAAAGUGUUUGUGUGUGCGUGCGUGGAUUCUUUUACAGGACGGCCAGAGGCCUAUGAAAGGAGAGAACAGAGAAACUAUGAUUAAAUGUCUCAUUAACUAUUACAUUUCUAGGCGUAGGUUUUCUGACAGGAUGAAGAUGGACAAUGGAAAGUAGUAAGGAUUAAUUAGUAUCUGAAAAAAUAAUUGGCUGAAAUCUGUGCACAGACUAAAUUGAUAUGGGGUAAAGUGUUGUUUCUUGUUGGAGUGUUCAGUUAAUUUCAUUGCAGGAUGCAUUCUCUGACUGGAAGGAGUUUUUCGGGGUGCGACGUCAACCUCCCGGGAUUCACAGGUAGCACACGAAAUUUGACAUCUAAAGAUUGUUGUGUAGUUUCAGAUAAUAUUGGAGAUUCCUGAAGAAUGUGAAGGAGGGUCCACCAACCGCCAGACCUCGGCUGAGUGCGCGCUAUGGUCAACGAAGAACAGAGGUGGGGGUUGUGAUUUAGGGUGCUCUGACCACAGUGUGGAGCCGUGAGGUCCCACCACAGGGUGCCAAAGGAAACACUGAGACCAGUGCAGAACCAGAGUGGGAACUCCGGAAAGCCAUCAAAAGAAAGUGGUCAGAACCAAGGUGGACCUGCCCAUACCAGAUGGUGGAACGCACUUUGCACGCAGUCAGGCUUAAAGGAAAAGGCGACACCUGGUAUCAUUGAAGUCAGUGUGCAGCCACUGAGGAACCUCAGCGCUCUCAAACAUCAGGUGCGCGAGGUUUUACAGGAUAACACCACAAAGCGGUGAAAGGGAGCCUACCGGUGAAUCCUCUACUCAACCAGGGUCAUAAUAACACCCGUAGAGAGAUUCAGUGAGCUUAAGCUCACUCACAGAAAUUGCGCAAAGGAGACAGAGCAGAAAAACAAAGAACAAGAGGCGGAAGAAGUGGUCAUUUACGGACCGACCACAGGGCAGUGAGCCGCUCUGCUGCUCCAGGUUGACAGAAGAGGCAGAAGAAGUGGUCAUUUACGGAUCAACCACAGGGCAGUGAACCGCUCUCCUGUUCCAGGAAAAGAAGAAAACCAAAAGAGACUCAGAGAACUGAAAAAAAAGAAAAAAAUUAUUGUUUUUACCUUUGUAUUUUUGCAUUUCUUGUUGAAAUUUGUGUGUUUCUCCACAGGUGUUUUUCCACAGGGGCACUAAAACAGCACAAAGCAUGUGAGCAGGAAUACUUGUGACCAAACCCCCUAAGGGUUGGGUUGCAGGAGGUUUAUUAUUAUCAGUUGUUAUUGUUACAGUUAUAUUGUGGUAUUUUUGCGACUUUCCAUUCCUAAACAUGUCCAGCUGAUCCAACUAGGAAGACCACAAAGACGCGCUAUUACAGCAGCAUCCAAUGACUGGUGCUUAAAACAAUAUGGCAGAGUGGAAUUAAAUUACAGUCGGAGGGCGACAACUACAUUUCAGGUCCACCUUUGUGAUAUUAUAAAGUGCGGUAGUAAAAUUAAUUAUGGACAGUGGAGCAGAUAAAUAAAAAAAA